rnacentral:sRNA from 1 species
UCUCCGAAAGACGAGUCCCCUGAGUGGGAAA